AUACGGAGGGUGCAAGCGUUACUCGGAAUCACUGGGUGUAAAGCGCGCGCAGGCGGCUAUUUAAGUUGGAUGUGAAAGCCUACGGCUCAACCGUAGAACUGCAUCCAAAACUAUUUAGCUAGAGUGUGGGAGAGGAAGAUGGAAUUAGUUGUGUAGGGGUAAAAUCCGUAGAGAUAACUAGGAAUACCAAAAGCGAAGGCGAUCUUCUGGAACAGUACUGACGCUGAGGCGCGAAAGCGUGGGGAGCAAACAGGAUUAGAAACCCUAGUAGUCC
rnacentral:rRNA from 1 species